rnacentral:rRNA from 1 species
AACGUAGGUCACAAGCGUUGUCCGGAAUUACUGGGUGUAAAGGGAGCGCAGGCGGGAAGACAAGUUGGAAGUGAAAUCCAUGGGCUCAACCUAUGAACUGCUUUCAAAACUGUUUUUCUUGAGUAGUGCAGAGGUAGGCGGAAUUCCCGGUGUAGCGGUGGAAUGCGUAGAUAUCGGGAGGAACACCAGUGGCGAAGGCGGCCUACUGGGCAUCAACUGACGCUGAGGCUCGAAAGUGUGGGUAGCAAACAGG